rnacentral:rRNA from 1 species
GAUCAUAGCUCAGGACGAACGCUGGCGGCGUGCCUAACACAUGCAAGUCGAGCGGAGACAGUGAGUAGCUUGCUAUGAGCUGUUUUAGCGGCGGACGGGUGAGUAACGCGUGAGCAACCUUUCCCAGACAGGGGAAUAACACACCGAAAGGUGUACUAAUACCGCAUAAGACCACGGGAUCACAUGGUUCUGGGGUAAAGAAUUAUUCGGUUUGGGGGUUUGGGGGUCGGUCGCGUCCGACUAGUAGGUUGGUUGGAGGUAACGGG